rnacentral:rRNA from 1 species
AGAGUUUGAUCCUGGCUCAGGAUGAACGCUAGCGGCAGGCUUAAUACAUGCAAGUCGUGGGGCAGCAUAGGGUAGCAAUACUCUGAUGGCGACCGGCAAACGGGUGCGGAACACGUACGCAACCUUCCUUUAACAGGAGAAUAGCCCCUCGAAAGAGGGAUUAAUACUCCGUAACAUGAUGAUAAGGCAUCUUAUUAUUAUUAUAGCUCCGGCGGUUAGAGAUGGGCGCGCGCCUGAUUAGGUAGUUGGCGGGGUAACGGCCCACCAAGCCUGCGAUCAGUAACUGGUGUGAGAGCACGACCAGUCACACGGGCACUGAGACACGGGCCCGACUCCUACGGGAGGCAGCAGUAAGGAAUAUUGGUCAAUGGACGCAAGUCUGAACCAGCCAUGCCGCGUGGAGGAUUAAGGCCCUCUGGGUUGUAAACUCCUUUUAUCUGGGAAGAAAUCCACAUAUUCUUAUGUGGUUGACGGUACCAGAGGAAUAAGCACCGGCUAGCUCCGUGCCAGCAGCCGCGGUAAUACGGAGGGUGCAAGCGUUAUCCGGAUUCACUGGGUUUAAAGGGUGCGUAGGCGGGUAAGUAAGUCCGUGGUGAAAUCUCUGAGCUUAACUCAGAAACUGCCGUGGAUACUAUUUGCCUUGAAUAUUGUGGAGGUGAGCGGAAUAUGUCAUGUAGCGGUGAAAUGCUUAGAUAUGACAUAGAACACCAAUUGCGAAGGCAGCUCACUACACAAUCAUUGACGCUGAGGCACGAAAGCGUGGGGAUCAAACAGGAUUAGAUACCCUGGUAGUCC